CAUGAGGGAGGCAGGUGCUUAUUCACAUGAAGAUCGAAAACAGGAUCCAGUUUCAAAAUUUUGAAACUGGUUGAAAUAUCCCUUUUCAUGAUCGUAAAUACUGUGAUUGAAUUAUAGUGAUCUAGAUAAAACUUUACAUGAAAGUAUUAUAUAGUUAAACUACAGUAUAUACAAUAGUGAGAAAACAUAUAUCAACCAGUUUUAAAGUUUUGAAACUGAAUUCUGUUUUCGAUCUU
rnacentral:rRNA from 1 species